ensembl:lncRNA
CUUCCCCCGCCGCCGGGGCAGAGAAGGGGCGGCCCAUCAUGGCCCUGGGGUCUGGCCUUCCAAUUAUGAUUUCAGUUCUUUUAAAGUUGAGGUUUGUUUUAUCACCUAGUAUUUGAUUUUUCUUAAAGAACUUUUCAUGAGCCCCUAAGUAAAAAAGGUCAGGACAAAAUUUCACAAUUAGAGCUCAUCUGGCAUUGUUUUCUACAGGAAAACUGAAAACUAAAGGAUCUUUUGUGCAGCUAAAAGCCCAUUUAUUUAUUUAUUGGGGUUUAUAUUCAUGCCUGUGGGAUGGUACCUUAAUGUUCUACCCAGUAUUUUGGAAGACAUCAAGAAACCAGGCGAAAUCAUGAGGUUGGAAUAAGCAUCUCUGAUGUUCCUUGAAUUAAUGGAUGGUUUUCAACCCCUCUGAAAAAUCAGCAAAAUUACUAUCAUUUCCUCUUGCUCCAAGGAUCAGACUGUGCCAUCCGUCAUCCACCCCAACACUCCGUCAGGACAGCUGCUUCUACACAGUCUGGUGUGUCAUGCAGAUCAUACCCUGUGACUUCCAUGGUCACUCCUGUGAAGUGGGUGCCUCGGUCAAAGGCUAUCGUGCGAGAGUUCCCGUUGGUAGAUCUACACUAUAUUAGCCCCGGAACAGUCACACUGUGUGAGGCUCUAUGGAGAUAAAAAGCAAAUCUACAUCUGAGAUGUGCGUACCUUUCUGCGAAGGGAAACACUGGCCCUUCUAGAAUGAAGGGGACCGAAACAGAUGACUUGCCAUCAGUGCGCAGCUGGUCUCCUUGAGGGACAGUGUCUUGGUGAGUCUCAGCAAUGGGUUCUGUGGUUGCUGGUUUGGACUUACAGAAAUGUCUGUCGUCUGACUCAGUGGACGUCCACUGUGUCAACUGCGUAGCUUCCGAUUUUGCCAAAACGGCCACCCUGUCCAAGUGCCCAUCGUGUCCGUUGUAGGAGAGCUGAAUACAAAGACUGGUGGCACCAUUUUACCUACUUAGUGUUCCAUGCCUCUCCAGGGUGAAUGUUUUCUGGUGGAUAUUGAUAUGCAAUAACACAGAUCUUCACACAAGUCCUGUUUCAUUACGUUCAUUCACAGAUCUCCAGUCUAGACAUCCUCGUCCCUGAUCCCCCUGUAGGUUUCCUUCCAGUAUGCCUGUAACACUGGCCCUGUUCAUCUGUGGUUCGUACCUGAAUAUCAUGCUGAUCCCUCC